rnacentral:rRNA from 1 species
UACGUAGGGGGCAAGCGUUGUCCGGAAUUAUUGGGCGUAAAGCGCGCGCAGGCGGUGAUUUAAGUCUGAUGUAUAACCCCCAGGCUCAACUUGGGAUGGCAUCGGAAACUGAAUGACUGGAGUGUAGGAGAGGAAAGUGGAAUUCCACGUGUAGCGGUGAAAUGCGUAGAGAUGUGGAGGAACACCAGUGGCGAAGGCGACUUUCUGGCCUAUAACUGACGCUGAGGCGCGAAAGCGUGGGGAGCAAACAGG